UACGGGGGGGCAAGCGUUGUUCGGAAUUACUGGGCGUAAAGGGCGCGUAGGCGGCUCGCUAAGUCGGAUGUGAAAACUCUGGGCUCAACCCAGAGCCUGCAUCCGAAACUGGAGGGCUAGGGUGCUGGAGGGAAAGCGGAAUCCUGGUGUAGCGGUGAAAUGCGUAGAUAUCGAGAGGAACACCUGCGGCGAAGGCGGGUGCUGGCGUGAGCACUGACGCUGGAUGCGCGAAGCCAGGGAGACGAACGG
rnacentral:rRNA from 1 species